rnacentral:snoRNA from 1 species
AGUCUCCUGGUGCUUACCACAGGCUGUGUUCUUACACUGACUCUGUAGAAAGAGGAGGGAAAAUAUACCUACCCCACAUACACCUCAGCCCAGGCCCUGUGCCUGGUCUAUAUUUGUGAGUGGGAAGACAUGG